CCUCCUGCGCGGCCCGCGCUCCCCCGGGCCUGCCUGCGCCUCGGUCCCCAGUUCUGGCUCUUUCCUCUCACUUGGCCGCUCGGCCUGCCUCACUCCCGCUUGUUUGCUCUCCUCCGUUUCUCUCCUGUCUGUGUCUCUGUGCGUCUCUGCACCCUUCCGUGGGUUGAGUCUCUCCUUUUCUCGGUCUCUAGUUCUAGUUCUCCUUCCCUCCCUCUGACUCCCAGUUGCCUUCUGUCUCCACCGCAGCCCUCAUUCUCUCUCUCACUUCCCCUUGCUGUCCCCGGCACCCUGUCCCUCCGUCCAUGGUCCAUGGCUCCGGCCUCCUCCCCUCACACCCUGUAUCUCUCCUGUCCCUCCCUGGCGCUGCCCAUCUCGUGCUCACCGUCUCUCACCCUCCACCCCUGGCCAAGGCACCCCCAGGGCCAGCCAGGCCCCCUAGACCUGGCCUUGAUCUGCGCCUCAUGCCCCAGUCCCAUAAAAGGGGUUUACAAGUGGAGGGACUGCAGGACCAGUGCUCAGGGCUCAGACACAGAAGUCAGGAAAACGGAGAGAGGACAUGGCUCUGGCACCUGCCAGCUCACAGGGGCAGAGCUACAGAGUUUGAAAGCCAGUCUUUCAAACGGGGUCUCCCAGGAGGCCCUCAGCUGCCACAUGGUGCCUGGUGGCUGGCACUCUGAGAAUGGUCUCACCUCACUUUCCACUUUCCCACCUGACAAGGAAGGAAGGACCAGGGGCAUGUGCGCCAUGGGGCAGGCAGAGAAGGCUGGGCCUGCAGCCGCCCCACUUCCUUUACCCACGACGCCCUCCUCUUCCUGCCCUCCGUCCUGCCGGUUCCUACCCCUCAUCCCUGGGUCUGGCCAGGGCUUUGAUGGCCAGGGGUGCUCAGCUGCAGGAAAUUGGAGGCCUGCUUCCUGGUGCCCCAUCCACCCAGGCCCAGGGCUGCUCAGGGGACUGUCCGAUAGGACUCAUGUCCCUGCCUCCAUCUCCAGCUCAUCUUGCCACAUCCUGCAGCUCCCCCCACCGAGCCUUGAGGAUACUGCUCUGUGUCAGCUCAACUCAGACCUGCACGUGGCUGGUUCUGGGCACUGGGGACACAAACUCCCUGCCAAGCUGAACAGGCAGGCUCGGGAGCUGCCUCCGGCUAGGGACCUUUGGGGUCAGGUAAGGAUCCAGAGUCCAAGUUUUCCAAAAUAAAAGGGAUGUGAGCAGUGCUGUGUGGCCUUGGGCAAGGCACUCAUCCUCUCUGAGCCUCAGUUUCCUUAGUUGUAAAACAAGGACAGUCAUAAUAGCACACCUGCCGCUGGUGGGUUGAGAUUGGAGAAUACAGCAUAAGGUAACAUAGCAAGCGCUUCACAGGCACUUGGCAAACACUGGUUUCUCUCCCCUUGUGGAGAGAAAUGUCCCCUGCAGCCCAUGCUCGAGCUGGAGGGGGUGGAGGGUUGCAACAGACCAGGGCCCACUUCCUGGCCUGAGCCCCAUGGUGGCUAGCGGAGCCAGUGUCCACAGGGCUAAGUCCCGUGCCCAGCCGCGGCCCACAGGACCCUACGCCGUCCUUGCUGCCAGGCUGGGUCCUCAGGCCCAUUUCACAGACAAGGUGAGGACUCGAACCCAGGUCUUUCUCCAGAUCCUGUGCUUUCUUCCCUCUAUACAUUAUCUGGGACGCAACUGGGCCACGUGGGUCACGGUGGCAACCGCCACACACCCCUGGCUGGGCGGGGAGAUGCUGACAACUAGGGGUAGAAUGAACAAAUGAAGGAACAAAUAAUCCCACAGCUCCCUGGCCUUGCCACGAUUCGAUGGGGUGUGCUCCCAGACGGGAUUUUGGAGGGAACCAAGAGGAGAUGGGUGACAGCAAGGAGCAGGGGUGGGUGGGACCCGGUAUUAUAGCUCAGGAUCGGCCAACCAGCCUGGAACAUCAGCCACCCAUCUCACCAGAGCCCCGCCCUUUCCGUUUUCCUUCCCGUCUUCUGAUUUUAUCACAGAAAAGGUCUGGGUUUGGGGCUAACAUGUCCUUAAUGACUCUGUAACAUUUGUCAUUGUCCCUUUUUAAUAGAGAGAAGGUCGCAAGCUCCGUCUCAAGCUCGGGGCUGUUGGCAUCAGCAUUCUAGAACUUACCCAGCACUUCUUUCUUUUCUAUUUGCAGUUGCUUUCAGGUUUGACAAGUGGGACUGGUUUUCCAGUACAACAAAGGUGUGAAGCUCCCUCCAUCAGUGCAUUUAAUGAAGGCUUAAAAAUGUACAUUAAAGGCAAAUAUGAGAUAGGUCAUAAUCCAGGUGGUAUAAAAAUGCCCGGAAUUUGGGAAAGUUGGGAAGUGUUGAAGGUUUCCCAAAUUUCCAGGCAGGGGCAGGUCCUUGGUGCGAACGCCCAGUGGUCAGUGGCUAGGCGGGCCCAGGGAGGGUGGGCCUGGGCUCCCCACCCCGCCCCGUCCUGUCUCAGGCUCUGCUGCCCAGGCAGAGCUGGGAGGAGGAGGAGGAAAUGUUUUUCUUCUUCAAUUGGAAAAAACAACAGUGGGGCCAGGGCUGCACUGGGAGGAAGGGGCUCCUGCCCCCCCCAGCCUGGGCCUGGCCUCGAGCACGUUUGCCCUGCAGGAAAUGCUGCUGAUGGCUGCCUCCUUGAGCACUGCCUUAUCGCAAGGAAGGUGCUGGAAACAGCUUAGCAGGCCAGCCACCGGCCUGGUUAGUGCCAGGAGCUGUCACUGCAGCUCUGGGCUUGACCCUCAUUUCCCCUGGGAGCAACCCUGAGAGGCAGGUUUUGGAGUUGAGACACCUGAGUUCCUGGCCCAGCUCUGACCCUAUCCUUCUGCAUGACCACGUGGCACCACUGCUCCUUUAUGCCUCAGUUUCCAUAUCUGGAAAAGGGGAACAUACUCCAUCUCCUGGGGCUGCUGUGCUGGUGGAGACAGCCACGCGUCACAGUGCCGGCGCGUCAUGGAUGUGGUAGCUGCUGACCCUCCGGCUCUGGAACCGGGGGCUCCUCUCCCCAGACUCCCUGAGAGGAGCCAUGUGGGCUCCAGACUCGCUCAUCCGGACCCCAGGACAGCCCCCCCGCCAGGUACCCUGUCCCCUUCCCCCCCACACUGGAUCUCCUGUCACUGCCACCACAUCCCACUGGUGUGGCCCAAGGGGGGUGACCCUCCGGUGGCAGCGCUGGCAGGCGACAUGGCAGCCCCCACGCCAGUGUGCUCACGUUACGGACAGCUGGGCUGGAGCCACAGGUUCUCUGUUGCCGUUUCCCCACGGGCCGCGCCACACUACCGGCGUCGUGGAGCAAGGGGGUCCUCCCCCUUUGCAUUCUAGGGGCGUCCUUCUGGGCUCUGGGCGUUCCCACUGCCACCUCCCCUGGCUGCCACCCCGGGGGCGGCCUUCAGGGUCUGGUUUCAGGGCCAGGAGUAGCGGCCUGUGCUCGCCUGUGGGAGUCCAGCCCCUGGGUCGUUUCUGUCCUCUUUGUGUCCCUGUGUGCCUGGAGGAAAUGGUUCUCAUUCCUGCAUGUCAGCGAUGCCCUUUGCCGACUCCGCGGGUCCUUGCCCUCUGUGGUCAGCGGCCUGGCCGGCGGGGAGGGGACCGCAGUCCCGUGCACUCAUGGCGGGCGCCGCCCCCGCGCGGCGUGGCCCUUUGUGCUGUGUGGGCCGGAUAAUGGGCGGCAUUCCCAGACGGCCAGUCAUGGGUUGGGCCAAGAAAGGCCCCGGGCAGCUCCACACUGAGGCCUCUGUCCAGCAGCGGUGGCAGAGGGGCAGGGCGGCCCCACCCACAUUCCCCGCUGCCGCCCAGCCACGGCCGCCCAGCGCCCAGCGCCCAGCGGGCAGGGAGGCAGGCGCUCCCUGAGCACACAGCAGGUGCACCACAAUCGCGUCCCCAGUGACAGGGUGUCCUCAGUGACAGGAGCCGCAGGGAGGCAGGGCAAGUGCAGAGCUGAUGAGGACCAGCAUCGUGUGGUUGAGUACCUACUGUGCGCUAGAGCUUUGCUGGCUGGUCCUUACAAAAGCUACCCAGCGGCUGUGCUGUUGGCCCCAUUUGAUGGAUGAGUAAACUGAGGCUCAGAGAGGUGAGGCUCUGGUCCUGGAUUUGAACCCAUGUGUGUCUGGCCAUGUGUCUUGCAUCAGAUGUCGAGUGAGCACCGACUGCUUGUCCUGGGGGCGCAGCACUGAGUGCGACCUGAGGCGGCCGGGCUGAGGGGAUGGCCAGGGAGCCGCCAGCCCACCAGGCGGACGGGAGCCAGCAGGGCGGCUUCCUGGGGAAGUGUGGCCCGAGCGGCUUUGUGCAGCACACACCAUUAGUGUGUGUCCAGCAUUAGCCUUCACAAGGCAGGGGCUGUGAGGCCCAUGGACGAGGAGGAGACCGAGGCCCUCGGGCUGCCCAGGGCGGAGCUGGGAUUUUCACCCAGGCCUGGCUGUUCCCUUUGCUCCAGGGCUGGGGCCCAGUGAGGGGAGGUGGGACCCUGUGAAGUUGUCAUCCUGUGGUCCUGGGCCUGGGUUCCAAUGCCAGCCCUGUGCUGCCUGUGUGAACCAGAGUAAGUCCCUUUAUCUCUCUGGGCCUCAGUUUCCACACCUGUGAUAUGGGUAUGAGGGUCACUAUCUCUGCAGCUGUGGAGACAUUUAGCCAGCACCUGGUCCAUGGUUAAUACUCUAUCAGUGACAUUUAUUAUUAAAUCAUUGGUGGGAGAAGGUGUCGCUCCUCCCACCCUUCCUCCUG
rnacentral:lncRNA from 1 species